AACGAACGCUGGCGGCAGGCAUAACACAUGCAAGUCGAACGCCCCGCAAGGGGAGUGGCAGACGGGUGAGUAACGCGUGGGAACAUACCCUUUCCUGCGGUAUAGCUCCGGGCAACUGGAAUUAAUACCGCAUACGCCCUACGGGGGAAGAUUUAUCGGGGAAGGAUUGGCCCGCGUUGGAUUAGCUAGUUGGUGGGGUAAAGGCCGACCAAGGCGACGAUCCAUAGCUGGUCUGACAGGAUGAUCAGCCACACUGGGACUGAGACACGGCCCAAACUCCUACGGGAGGCAGCAGUGGGGAAUAUUGGACAAUGGGCGCAAGCCUGAUCCAGCCAUGCCGCGUGAGUGAUGAAGGCCUUAGGGUUGUAAAGCUCUUUCACCGGAGAAGAUAAUGACGGUAUCCGGAGAAGAAGCCCCGGCUAACUUCGUGCCAGCAGCCGCCGUAA
rnacentral:rRNA from 1 species